rnacentral:rRNA from 1 species
GCAACUCGACUGCACGAAGUCGGAAUUGCUAGUAAUCGCGGAUCAGCAUGCCGCGGUGAAUACGUUCCCGGGCCUUGUACACACCGCCCGUCACACCAUGAGAGUCGGGAACACCCGAAGUCGGUAGUCUAACCUCGUGAGGACGCCGCCGAAGGUGGGCUUGAUAAUUGGGGUGAAGUCGUAACAAGGUAUC